rnacentral:rRNA from 1 species
UUGAUUAUGACGUACUUGUACUGAUUGAGAUUUUAACACGAAGUGAGUGGCGAACGGGUGAGUAACACGUGGGUAACCUGCCCAGAAGUAGGGGAUAACACCUGGAAACAGAUGCUAAUACCGUAUAACAGAGAAAACCGCAUGGUUUUCUUUUAAAAGAUGGCUCUGCUAUCACUUCUGGAUGGACCCGCGGCGUAUUAGCUAGUUGGUGAGGUAAAGGCUCACCAAGGCAGUGAUACGUAGCCGACCUGAGAGGGUAAUCGGCCACAUUGGGACUGAGACACGGCCCAGACUCCUACGGGAGGCAGCAGUAGGGAAUCUUCCACAAUGGACGCAAGUCUGAUGGAGCAACGCCGCGUGAGUGAAGAAGGGUUUCGGCUCGUAAAGCUCUGUUGUUAAAGAAGAACGUGGGUAAGAGUAACUGUUUACCCAGUGACGGUAUUUAACCAGAAAGCCACGGCUAACUACGUGCCAGCAGCCGCGGUAAUACGUAGGUGGCAAGCGUUAUCCGGAUUUAUUGGGCGUAAAGCGAGCGCAGGCGGUCUUUUAAGUCUAAUGUGAAAGCCUUCGGCUCAACCGAAGAAGUGCAUUGGAAACUGGGAGACUUGAGUGCAGAAGAGGACAGUGGAACUCCAUGGGUAAGCCGGUG